rnacentral:snRNA from 1 species
CUCUUCCCUUAGAUUUUUAUUUG